rnacentral:tRNA from 1 species
AAUAAGAUGCCUGAAAAAAGGAUUAUUUUGAUAGAAUAAAUUAUGUGAAUUUUACUCUUAUUA